GACGAACGCUGGCGGCGUGCUUAACACAUGCAAGUCGAGCGGAAAGGCCCUUCGGGGUACUCGAGCGGCGAACGGGUGAGUAACACGUGAGUAACCUGCCCCAGACUUUGGGAUAACCCUCGGAAACGGGGGCUAAUACCGGAUACGACACAGCUUCGCAUGGGGUCUGUUUGGAAAGUUUUUCGGUUUGGGAUGGGCUCGCGGCCUAUCAGCUUGUUGGUGGGGUGAUGGCCUACCAAGGCGACGACGGGUAGCCGGCCUGAGAGGGCGACCGGCCACACUGGGACUGAGACACGGCCCAGACUCCUACGGGAGGCAGCAGUGGGGAAUAUUGCACAAUGGGCGGAAGCCUGAUGCAGCGACGCCGCGUGAGGGAUGACGGCCUUCGGGUUGUAAACCUCUUUCAGCAGGGACGAAGCGUAAGUGACGGUACCUGCAGAAGAAGCGCCGGCCAACUACGUG
rnacentral:rRNA from 1 species